GAAAUGCGAUAAGUAAUGUGAAUUGCAGAAUUCAGUGAAUCAUCGAAUCUUUGAACGCACCUUGCGCUCCUUGGUAUUCCUUGGAGCAUGCCUGUUUGAGUAGCAUGAAAUCUUCAAAGUAAAUCUUUUGUUAACUCAAUUGGUUUCUACUUUGGUAUUGGAGGUCUUUGCAGCUUCACACCUGCUCCUCUUUGUUCAUUAGCUGGAUCUCAGUGUUAUGCUUGGUUCCACUCGGCGUGAUAAGUUAUCUAUCGCUGAGGACACUGUAAAAGGUGGCCAAGGUAAAUGCAGAUGAACCGCUUCUAAUAGUCCAUUGACUUGGACAAUACUUUUAUGAUCUGACCUCAAAUCAGGUAGGACUACCCGCUGAACUUAAGC
rnacentral:misc_RNA from 1 species